rnacentral:rRNA from 1 species
GGCUUGUGCGCUCUCCUUUCUAUUUCUACAUGCAUAUCUCACGGUGAAGCCCCGCUUGCGGGCUGGUUCCCCGCCUUUCUAAUGAGUAACACGUGAGCAAUCUGCCCCUGACUCUGGGAUAUGCGCUGGAAACGGCGUCUAAUACUGGAUAUGAGCUGCGAUCGCAUGGUCAGUAGCUGGAAAGAUUUUUUGGUCAGGGAUGAGCUCGCGGCCUAUCAGCUUGUUGGUGAGGUAAUGGCUCACCAAGGCGUCGACGGGUAGCCGGCCUGAGAGGGUGACCGGCCACACUGGGACUGAGACACGGCCCAGACUCCUACGGGAGGCAGCAGUGGGGAAUAUUGCACAAUGGGCGGAAGCCUGAUGCAUCAACGCCUCGUGAGGGAUGACGGCCUUCGGGUUGUAAACCUCUUUUAGCAGGGAAGAAACGAAAGUGACGGUACCUGCAAAAAAGCGCCGGCUAACUACUGCCAGCAGCCGCGGUAAUACGUAAGGCGCAGCGUUAUCCGGAAUUAUUGGGCGUAAAGAUCUCGAGCGGUUUGUCUCGUCUGCUGUGAAAUUCC